CCCUUAGAUGUCCUGGGCCGCACGCGCGUUACACUGAUGCAUUCAACGAGCCUAUAACCUUGGCCGAGAGGCCUGGGCAAUCUUGUUAACGUGCAUCGUGAUAGGGAUAGAUUAUUGAAAUUAUUAAUCUUGAACGAGGAAUUCCUAGUAAACGCAGAUCAUCAAUCUGCAUUGAUUACGUCCCUGCCCUUUGUACACACCGCCCGUCGCUCCUACCGAUUGAAUGCUCAGGUGAGCCAUUCGGACUUUCAUCAUGCUGGUUUCCAGUUUUGAUGAAGGAAAGUCUUGCGAACCUUAUCAUUUAGAGGAAGGAGAAGUCGUAACA
rnacentral:rRNA from 1 species